rnacentral:rRNA from 1 species
CAGGCCUAACACAUGCAAGUCGAACGCCCCGCAAGGGGAGUGGCAGACGGGUGAGUAACACGUGGGAACGUACCCUUUGGUUCGGAACAACCCUGGGAAACUAGGGCUAAUACCGGAUACGCGCGAGAGCGGAAAGGUUUACCGCCGAAGGAUCGGCCCGCGUCUGAUUAGCUAGUUGGUGAGGUAACGGCUCACCAAGGCGACGAUCAGUAGCUGGUCUGAGAGGAUGAUCAGCCACAUUGGGACUGAGACACGGCCCAAACUCCUACGGGAGGCAGCAGUGGGGAAUAUUGGACAAUGGGCGAAAGCCUGAUCCAGCAAUGCCGCGUGAGUGAUGAAGGCCUUAGGGUUGUAAAGCUCUUUUACCCGGGAUGAUAAUGACAGUAUCGGGAGAAUAAGCCCCGUCUAACUCCGUGCCAGCAGCCGCGGUAAU